ensembl:snRNA Gm23330 predicted gene, 23330
AUACUUACCUGGCAGGGAAGAUACCAUGAUCACGAAGGUGGUUUUCCCAGGGCGAGGCUUAUCCAUUGCACUCCAGAUGUGCUGACCCCUGCGAUUUCCCCAAAUGUGGGAAACUCAACUGCAUAGUUUGUGGUAGUGGGGGACUGCUUUAGAGCUCUCCUCUG